UACAGAGGGUGCAAGCGUUAAUCGGAGUUACUGGGCGUAAAGGGCGCGUAGGCGGUUAUAUAAGUGAGAUGUGAAAUCCCCUGGGCUUAACCUAGGAACUGCAUCUUAUACUGUAUAGCUGGAGUAUUGUAGAGGGUAGUGGAAUUUCCGGUGUAGCGGUGAAAUGCGUAGAGAUCGGAAGGAACACCAGUGGCGAAGGCGGCUACCUGGACAAAUACUGACGCUGAGGCGCGAAAGCGUGGGGAUCAAACAGG
rnacentral:rRNA from 1 species